ACGGACGAGAAGCUUGCUUCUCUGAUGUUAGCGGCGGACGGGUGAGUAACACGUGGAUAACCUACCUAUAAGACUGGGAUAACUUCGGGAAACCGGAGCUAAUACCGGAUAAUAUUUUGAACCGCAUGGUUCAAAAGUGAAAGACGGUCUUGCUGUCACUUAUAGAUGGAUCCGCGCUGCAUUAGCUAGUUGGUAAGGUAACGGCUUACCAAGGCAACGAUGCAUAGCCGACCUGAGAGGGUGAUCGGCCACACUGGAACUGAGACACGGUCCAGACUCCUACGGGAGGCAGCAGUAGGGAAUCUUCCGCAAUGGGCGAAAGCCUGACGGAGCAACGCCGCGUGAGUGAUGAAGGUCUUCGGAUCGUAAAACUCUGUUAUUAGGGAAGAACAUAUGUGUAAGUAACUGUGCACAUCUUGACGGUACCUAAUCAGAAAGCCACGGCUAACUACGUGCCAGCAGCCGCGGUAAUACGUAGGUGGCAAGCGUUAUCCGGAAUUAUUGGGCGUAAAGCGCGCGUAGGCGGUUUUUUAAGUCUGAUGUGAAAGCCCACGGCUCAACCGUGGAGGGUCAUUGGAAACUGGAAAAC
rnacentral:rRNA from 1 species